CUGUACUAGCUUCUCUGCACUGGCUGCCUGUAAAAUGUAGAAUAGAAUUAAAAAUCCUCCUCCUCAAAUAUAAAGCUUUUCAUGGCCCCUUCAUAUCUUUUUUUUUUUUGUAAUAAAUUUUAUUGGUUUUCAACAGAAACACAAGUUAUACAUUUUGCCAUCAUGUCAAUAACAGAGAUAGAUGAAAGGAAAGAAAAAAUAUAUAUAUAUAUACUGUACAUAUACACACAUUGCCAUCCAUCUGUUCUUAGCAAGAAAAUGUCUACUGCCCCCCUUUCAUCUUCACAGUACAUACUGGAGCCUCUCUCUAUAUUGCUCUGCAUACACACACAUUGUCCAUUCGUGUAGCCAUAGAACACAACAGCGCCAAUAUUCUACAAAAGUAAGCAGUGAUACAUCAAGCAGAGUUAAAACAUGACAGUAAAAAAAAAAAAAAAAAAUGACAGUAUUUAAGAACCACAGUACAAGAGAAGACACUUAUGGAUUUAUCGCAGGUGGACGUGGCCAUUUUAGGGAAAACUGAUCUAUUCUUAGCAAGAAAAUGUCUACUGCCCCCCCUUCAUCUUCACAAUACAUACUGGAGCCUCUCUCCAUAUUGCUCUGCAUACACACACAUUGUCCAUUCGUGUAGCCAUAGAACACAACAGCGCCAAUAUUCUACAAAAGUAAGCAGUGAUACAUCAAGCGGAUGUACAGUACAAGACAAGACACUUAUGGAUUUAUCGCAGGUGGGCGUGGCCAUUUUAGGGAAAACUGGCCCCUCAUCACUAGCAGAGUCAAAUCCCCAGGUAGGUAGUUAAGCAGAGGAGCCCACAUUUCAUUGAAAGACCUCUCAUUACCCUUCGCAACUGCACUAAGUCUUUCAUGGGGGAGGACCCUGAAUAUUUCCCCAAUACCAUAAUGUGACAGUAGGUGGUUUAUCAUUGAUCCAAUUAAUUAAAAUACAUUUUCUAGCCAAUAAUAGCAAUUUGUCGCAUAGUUUGAACUUUAAACGGGUUAGAGUCACCUCCCUUGAGGGGAGGCCGAGAAUGAAAAGGCCUGGGUCCCUCUUAACUUUUGCCUGAAAGAUGCCACUCAGUUCCUGUGAAAUUGUACCCCAAAAUCUUUUUAUCAAUUUACAUUGCCAGAAGUAAUGAUAAUAUGUUCCAAUCUCUCUAUGACACUUGUUACACAAAGGUGAGACCUGACGGUCCAUCUUAUUUAGUAUGUAAGGAGUUAUGUGUAGACGGUGUAAUAUUUUAUACUGUGUCUCUCUCAAUCUAUUACAUGUAAAGGUGGAUUUAAAUACUUCAAUGGUCUCCUGCCAGUCAUCCUCAAUAUACUGUGUCGAGAUCUUUCUCCCACUUCUGUGCAAUGCUUGUAAUAUCACCUGGACUAAGAGAGUAUAGCAGUGCAUAGAAGGAAGAGAUAAAAUGCGUGAUGCCUCUCCGGGAGAUAAGGAACCUCUCUACAUCACUGUACAUGACUAGAUCAGGAGGGGGUAAGGUCUUGGAUCCAACAAAGUGCCUGACCU
rnacentral:lncRNA from 15 species